ACGGGUGAGUAACACGUAGGCAACCUGCCUAUAGGGACGGGAUAACUACCGGAAACGGUAGCUAAGACCGUAUAGUUGCCCAUGGCGCAUGCCGGGGGCAAGAAACGCGGAGCAAUCUGUGGCCUAUAGAUGGGCCUGCGGCGCAUUAGCUAGUUGGUGGGGUAAUGGCCUACCAAGGCGACGAUGCGUAGCCGACCUGAGAGGGUGACCGGCCACACUGGGACUGGGACACGGCCCAGACUCCUACGGGAGGCAGCAGUAGGGAAUCUUCCGCAAUGGACGCAAGUCUGACGGAGCAACGCCGCGUGAGUGAUGAAGGUUUUCGGAUCGUAAAGCUCUGUUGCCAGGGACGAAAAGCGUUUGGAGUAACUGCCAAGCGUGUGACGGUACCUGAGAAGAAAGCCCCGGCUAACUACGUGCCAGCAGCCGCGGUAAUACGUAGGGGGCAAGCGUUGUCCGGAAUUAUUGGGCGUAAAGCGCGCGCAGGCGGCUAUUUAAGUUUGGUGUAUAAUCCCGGGGCUCAACCCCGGGCCGCACCGAAAACUGGGUGGCUUGAGUGCGGGAGAGGAAAGUGGAAUUCCACGUGU
rnacentral:rRNA from 1 species